AGUUGCGGAGUCCGAUGCACCGAUUGCCGGAGCGGAGGAGGUCCCACCGGCCCUCGAGGAAGUAGAGGUUGAUGCUUGUGUCGCCAGGUUGAAGAGCCGUCGCUCUCCCGGCAUGGACGGCAUCAAUGGCACUAUCUGCAAAGCAGUGUGGCGCGCCAUACCUCAGUAUCUGACGGCGCUUUAUUCCCGUUGCAUCCAGUCGGGUUACUUCCCCCGAGAGUGGAAGUGUCCACGUGUAGUGGCGCUACUCAAGGGGCCCGAUAAGGAUAGGUGCGAACCCUCGUCGUACCGUGGGAUAUGCCUGUUGCCAGUAUUUGGCAAGGUGCUUGAGGCCAUCAUGGUUGAUCGUGUGAGAGAAGUUCUUCCGGAAGGAUGCAGAUGGCAGUUUGGAUUUCGCCAAGGACGAUGUGUGGACGACGCUUGGAGGCACGUCAAGAGCAGUGUCGCUGCCAGCCCGGCACGAUACGUGCUCGGCAUCUUCGUCGACUUCAAGGGUGCGUUCGACAAUGUCGAAUGGAGUGCUGCACUGCGCCGGCUCGCCGACUUGGGAUGCCGUGAGUUGAGCUUGUGGCAGAGCUUCUUCUCAGACAGAAGAGCAGUGAUCCGAAGCAGUUCUGGAACUGUGAGUGUUCCAGUAACUAGAGGCUGCCCUCAGGGAUCCAUUAGUGGCCCAUUCAUUUGGGAUCUGCUGAUGGACGUCCUGCUGCGGCGCCUCCAGCCAUACUGCGCUUUUAGCGCGUAUGCGGAUGACCUGCUCCUUCUUGUCGAAGGCAACUCCCGAGCCGUGCUGGAGGAAAAAGGAGCGCAACUGAUGUCCAUCGUUGAAGCGUGGGGUACGGAAAUCGGUGUUACCAUUUCCACCAGCAAGACGGUGAUUAUGCUGCUGAAGGGAGCCCUUGCGCGCACCCCGUUGGUGAGAUCUGCCGGAGCAAAUCUCCCAUACGUUCGCAGCUGCCGGUACCUUGGCAUCACGGUCAGCGAGCGCAUGAACUUCUUCAUGCACAUCGCAUCGCUGCGUCAGCGAAUGACCGGAGUCGUACAAGCAUUGGCGCGUGUGCUGCGAGUCGACUGGGGAUUCAGUCCUCGGGCCAGGCGGACCAUUUAUGCUGGACUCAUGGUGCCUUGUGCACUAUUUGGUGCCUCGGUGUGGUAUGUCGUGACGACGAGGCAAGUUGUAGCUAGGAGGCGACUUCUUGCCUGCCAGAGGCUGAUCCUUUUAGGAUGCCUCCCGGUAUGCCGUACAGUGUCAACCCUGGCACUGCAGGUGCUUGCUGGAGCCCCGCCUCUUGACUUGGCUGCUAUGAAAAUAGCCGUCAAGUACAAGUUGAAGCGUGGAUACCCGUUGGAGGGGGACGACUGGCUCUAUGGCGAGGACCUUUCAGGUCUGAGCUGGACGCAACGAGUCUCGCGGGUAGACGAAUGCCUUCUGUCGGACUGGCAGAGCAGAUGGGAUGAUGGUGAUUCGCCCGGUCGGGUGACUCACAAGUUCAUCCCAGAUGCAGGGUUCGUCUAUCGGAAUCCGGAUUUCGGGUUCUCCAUGCGCGCGGGAUUCUUGUUGACAGGGCACGGGUCGUUCAAUGCAUUUCUGCAUAGAAGAGCCCUUAGCGAUACUGCUGCAUGCUCAUGUGGCGAUCCUAAUGAGGACUGGGAACACAUUUUAUGUGCUUGCCCCCUUUAUGCAGACUUGCGAGACCUCGAUGGACUCGGUUUGCAGCACGUUGGCGGGACCUGGACAUUUGGAAGGAUUUUGGAGAGCGGCGACAGGACCAGAAGACUCACGGAGUUUGCUGAGGAGGUGUUUCGGAGGAGGAGGGGCUUGCAGUAGCCCAUUUUUCUCGCCGUGUGGUAGCGGCGUAGAAUACUGCCACAGCUCCCCAUAGCUUGUCGUAGGAGGCGACUAAUAUGGCAAGGUUCCCCAUCCGAGCUUGUCGGAGCUAAAGGGGUGGGUCACCGAGCCCACAAACUUCGGUACCACGGGUUGGAUAGUGUCCAAGCACUACCAUUUGAGGUAGGCCCCCUUGUGGGAGUAUCGUGGUGGCUGUGGUUGAUACCCAAAUCGCGGGUAGAGUCCUCGGACUCGACGUGGAGUUGCGUUAUACAACUCGGGCGCUGUGACCCAUAGAUCAGUAGAGGUGAUAGAUACACUUCGCUCCUCACCAAGGGGAAGUAUUCUGUCCGACUCGCAGAUACUUAAAUUGGUACCGGGCUAGUUGCUAUGUAUUUGCUAUAGCUUCUAUUCCGGGGCGUUGGCAGGCGUACCAUCCGUGCCCAUGCACUAUAUGCCUACUCGUAGGUAUAUUCGAGUGCCGUGGUUGUAAUCCCUUCAGUGUGGAACACGCCACGUUAAACAAGAUCGGAGAGAUCCGAGACAUACACCUGUCCCUAUCUACUAUCUAGCGAAACCACAGCCAAGGGAACGGGCUUGGAAUAAUUAGCGGGGAAAGAAGACCCUUUUGAGCUUGACUCUAAUCUGGCAGUGUAAGGAGACAUAAGAGGUGUAGAAUAAGUGGGAGAUAUUAGACUUCGGUUUGGUAUCGCCAAUGAAAUACCACUACUCUUAUUGUUUCCUUACUUACUUGAUUAAAUGGAACGUGUAUCAUUUCCUAGCCAUUAUACGGAUAUAUUUAUUAUAUCUUAUGGUAUUGGGUUUUGAUGCAAGCUUCUUGAUCAAAGUAUCACGAGUUUGUUAUAUAAUCGCAAACAAAUUCUUUAAUGAGAGAUGCAUUUACUGUAUUAUUGAUUUGAAAAUUUGGUAUAACUCCAAUUACUCAGGUAUGAUCCAAUUCAAGGACAUUGCCAGGUAGGGAGUUUGACUGGGGCGGUACAUCUCUCAAAUAAUAACGGAGGUGUCCCAAGGCCAGCUCAGUGCGGACAGAAACCACACAUAGAGCAAAAGGGCAAAUGCUGACUUGAUCUCGGUGUUCAGUACACACAGGGACAGCAAAAGCUCGGCCUAUCGAUCCUUUUGGUUUAAAGAGUUUUUAACAAGAGGUGUCAGAAAAGUUACCAUAGGGAUAACUGGCUUGUGGCGGCCAAGCGUUCAUAGCGACGUCGCUUUUUGAUCCUUCGAUGUCGGCUCUUCCUAUCAUUGUGAAGCAAAAUUCACCAAGCGUUGGAUUGUUCACCCAUGCAAGGGAACGUGAGCUGGGUUUAGACCGUCGUGAGACAGGUUAGUUUUACCCUACUAAUGACAAAACGUUGUUGCGACAGCAUUCCUGCGUAGUACGAGAGGAACCGCAGGUACGGACCAAUGGCACAAUACUUGUUCGAGCGAACAGUGGUAUGACGCUACGUCCGUUGGAUUAUGCCUGAACGCCUCUAAGGUCGUAUCCGUGCUGGACUGCAAUGAUAAAUAAGGGGCAAUUUGCAUUGUAUGGCUUCUAAACCAUUUAAAGUUUAUUAUUUAUAUUUUAAACGACAAUGGAUGUGAUGCCAAUGUAAUUUGU
rnacentral:rRNA from 1 species